rnacentral:rRNA from 1 species
UACGAAGGGGGCUAGCGUUGCUCGGAAUCACUGGGCGUAAAGGGUGCGUAGGCGGGUCUUUAAGUCAGGGGUGAAAUCCUGGAGCUCAACUCCAGAACUGCCUUUGAUACUGAGGAUCUUGAGUUCGGGAGAGGUGAGUGGAACUGCGAGUGUAGAGGUGAAAUUCGUAGAUAUUCGCAAGAACACCAGUGGCGAAGGGGAGUCUCUGGACAUUUCCUGACGCUGAGGCACGAAAGCCAGAGGAGCAAACGGG